rnacentral:rRNA from 1 species
CCUACGGGAGGCAGCAGUAAGGAAUAUUGGUCAAUGGGCGCAAGCCUGAACCAGCCAUGCCGCGUGCAGGAAGACGGCCCUAUGGGUUGUAAACUGCUUUUGAACAAGAGAAAACCUCGGUACGUGUACCGAGCUGAUAGUAUUGUUAGAAUAAGCAUCGGCUAACUUCGUGCCAGCAGCCGCGGUAAGACGAAGGAUGCAAGCGUUAUCCGGAUUCAUUGGGUUUAAAGGGUGCGUAGGCGGCCUGAUAAGUCAGUGGUGAAAUCUCUCAGCUUAACUGAGAAACUGCCAUUGAUACUGUCGGGCUUGAGUACAGAUGAUGUGGGCGGAAUAUGACAUGUAGUGGUGAAAUACUUAGAUAUGUCAUAGAACACCGAUUGCGAAGGCAGCUCACAAAACUGUAACUGACGCUGAGGCACGAAAGUGCGGGGAUCAAACAGGAUUAGAUACCCUGGUAGUCCGCACCGUAAACGAUGAUUACUCGUUGUUGGCAAUAUGACCGUCAGCGACCAAGCGAAAGCGAUAAGUAAUCCACCUGGGAGUACGCCGGNACGGUGAAACUCAAAGGAUUGACGGCUUGAGGACGNGCGACGGCGACGACGAGGGAGGAGG